rnacentral:lncRNA from 1 species
UAGAAAAGAGAUAUUUUCUAAUUCCAUCCUCCACUAAAAGCUCUUCCCCCUAAUUUACCUAUGAGAACCAACUUUUGGUUUAUUUUCUUUAUUGCUUUUCUGUUUUUAAUUUUUGGAUUUAAUUUGCUCUUGUUUUUCUCUUUUCCUAUGGUGGAAACUUAAAUGAUUGACUUUAGAUCUUUCAUAUUUUCUAAUAUAUGUAGUCAAUACCAUAAAUUUUCCUCUAAAAACUGCUUUCUCUGCAUCUUACAAAUUUUGAUAAGUUGAAUUUUCAUUUUCAUUUAGUUCAGAAUGUUUUUAAAUUUAUCUUGAGUUUUUUUCCUCUGGCCCAUGUGUUAUUUAAAAGUGUGUUGUUUAAUCUCCAAGUAUUUUGAGAUUUUUCUAG